AGAGUUUGAUCCUGGCUCAGAUUGAACGCUGGCGGCAUGCCUUACACAUGCAAGUCGAACGGCAGCACGAGAGCUUGCUCUUGGUGGCGAGUGGCGAACGGGUGAGUAAUAUAUCGGAACGUACCCUAGAGUGGGGGAUAACGUAGCGAAAGUUACGCUAAUACCGCAUACGAUCUACGGAUGAAAGUGGGGGAUCGCAAGACCUCAUGCUCAUGGAGCGGCCGAUAUCUGAUAGCUAGUUGGUGGGGUAAAAGCUCACCAAGGCGACGAUCAGUAGCUGGUCUGAGAGGACGACCAGCCACACUGGAACUGAGACACGGUCCAGACUCCUACGGGAGGCAGCAGUGGGGAAUUUUGGACAAUGGGCGCAAGCCUGAUCCAGCAAUGCCGCGUGAGUGAAGAAGGCCUUCGGGUUGUAAAGCUCUUUUGUCAGGGAAGAAACGGUGGACUCUAAUACAGAUCACUAAUGACGGUACCCGAAGAAUAAGCACCGGCUAACUACGUGCCAGCAGCCGCGGUAAUACGUAGGGUGCAAGCGUUAAUCGGAAUUACUGGGCGUAAAGCGUGCGCAGGCGGUUGUGCAAGACAGAUGUGAAAUCCCCGGGCUCAACCUGGGAAUUGCAUUUGUGACUGCACGGCUAGAGUGUGUCAGAGGGGGGUAGAAUUCCACGUGUAGCAGUGAAAUGCGUAGAGAUGUGGAGGAAUACCGAUGGCGAAGGCAGCCUCCUGGGAUAACACUGACGCUCAUGCACGAAAGCGUGGGGAGCAAACAGGAUUAGAUACCCUGGUAGUCCACGCCCUAAACGAUGUCUACUAGUUGUCGGGUCUUAAUUGACUUGGUAACGCAGCUAACGCGUGAGGUAGACCGCCUGGGGAGUACGGUCGCAAGAUUAAAACUCAAAGGAAUUGACGGGGACCCGCACAAGCGGUGGAUGAUGUGGAUUAAUUCGAUGCAACGCGAAAAACCUUACCUACCCUUGACAUGUCUGGAAUCCUUGAGAGAUCAGGGAGUGCUCGAAAGAGAAUCAGAACACAGGUGCUGCAUGGCUGUCGUCAGCUCGUGUCGUGAGAUGUUGGGUUAAGUCCCGCAACGAGCGCAACCCUUGUCAUUAGUUGCUACGAAAGGGCACUCUAAGGAGACUGCCGGUGACAAACCGGAGGAAGGUGGGGAUGACGUCAAGUCCUCAUGGCCCUUAUGGGUAGGGCUUCACACGUCAUACAAUGGUACAUACAGAGGGCCGCCAACCCGCGAGGGGGAGCUAAUCCCAGAAAGUGUAUCGUAGUCCGGAUUGUAGUCUGCAACUCGACUACAUGAAGUUGGAAUCGCUAGUAAUCGCGGAUCAGCAUGUCGCGGUGAAUACGUUCCCGGGUCUUGUACACACCGCCCGUCACACCAUGGGAGCGGGUUUCACCAGAAGUGGGUAGCCUAACCGCAAGGAGGGCGCUCACCACGGUGGGAUUCGUGACUGGGGUGAAGUCGUAACAAGGUA
rnacentral:rRNA from 1 species